AGGUUAGCUCAACCAACGGCUCUUUAAAGUUUGCCUGUUGAAACGGAUCAAAAUAGCCACCAGGAUUACCUGUCAUCCAAGUAUACGUGCGAGUGGAGCUUAACCACUGCAGAAACAGAUAUGUUGCUUCUGGAUAUUUAGACUUGGAAGAAACCCAUGCAGUAAUGUGAUAAUAUAGCACAGAACGGCGGUUUAUCAUACCAUCCUUUUCACGGCC
rnacentral:ncRNA from 1 species